UGAAAUUCUCGGAUGACGUUCAGCAAAGAGUCAUAAAAAGCGAAAAUCUCGCGCGCAAUUGCAAUGAUACGCGGCUGCUUUGCAAGCAUUUUUCUAGUCGCUUGCGUGAAAGCACGUUAGAAAGCAAACUAGUUACGCUUACUGUGACGUAACACGAUACUCAAGUGUUUUGAGACCUCUGAACCUAAGGACCCGGCUUUAUAAUACAUAGGGCGGCCACUUCCUUCACAUGCUCUCUCUCUCUCUAGAGACGCUACAUCGGAUUUCGUAUAAUCUUCAACUAGAAGUGGGUCACCGCGCUCCAAGAGGAGCACACAACCGGUGUGUGUCUUAACCGUUGUGUGCCUGUACGUUGACUCUGACCACUCAGCCUGUCUGUUGGCUACUUUUGCAGCUGAAACGCCUGCAUAUCAAGCGGGAAGUGUUCUUGUAUUGACAGCCACGGCGUACGCGGAAUAACAGAAAUGAGCUGGGCAUAUGGACUACAGCUUGUUGUCAUUGCAUGUUUCUUACCGGGUCAACUUCUUGCUAGAGGCUUCAAUGCAAGAGACCCCAGAUGUCUGCAGGCAGUCACAGUAGAAGGCUGCGAAACCGUCCUCUUAGGCUGGAGCUUCAUCAAGGCCUCCAAUAAAUGUGCUAAAGGCUUUGUCUGCUCAGACAAUAGAAACAGAUUUUCUAAUCAAGCGGAAUGUACACAGCUUUGCCCGCCCAUGCCGGGCAGGAGACCAAGAAUGAGAAUAAAGAACUGCCGCUAUUGGCUUAGUGAAGGAGGGGAAUGCCAGAAACAUUGGUUCGGUUUCAGAAAAGACUUCUUUGGAGUGAAGCGUCGAGUGCUGUAUUACACUGGAUGUGACAGUGACCAGCAUCGGCACUUUGCAUACGACUUCUUUUGGAAAAGAUGCCGUGAGGUAAGGAGACCCUCAAGUGGAACAGGCGAAUAAACGGCAACACAGAACAAACGACCGAGCGAAGAUGUCCCAUACUACCACAGUUGACGAGUGCCCCGACGUUAAACACAAAGUGCCUAAAGGAACCUACAGUAGAAGACUGUGAAACCAUUUUACUAAGCUGGAGCUAUAACAGUGAAAACAAAACAUGCGAGAAAGGCUUUGUUUGCGUGGACUGUUCGAACAGAUUUGAAAAUCAAAAUGAAUGUACGAAAAUCUGCUCUAUGGUAAAAGUAAAAAAACCUAGACGCUACAAAAGAAACUGCAGAUAUUGGAUGGCAUGGGGGGCAAGUUGGCAAGAUAAAUGGUUUGAAGAAAGGAAGACAAAGGCAGGAAAAAUUGAUCUAGUAAUGUUUUUCACCGGCUGUGGACGACAAAAGAAAAAGUUAUAUGAAUACAGCUAUUCCCGGAAAAAAUGUCAUGAAGUGCCCUAUCGUGCACCGAAAAACCCACUCAAGACAUGAAGAGGGAAAAUCCAGUGGAGUACCUGCCAGCGGAGGAAGACGUAAUCCUAUCAGCUCCGGAAUAUCGUAUGUUGCACGCGGCACGCAAUAAUUUGCAAGCUAAUGCUCUCGAACAUCAGGACCAGUCAGAACGAGCCGAAUUAUUAUUACAAUAAAUAUUUUAUAUAAAAACACACAUACACACACGGGGAGGGAAAUAUGGAAUGGGCAGGCUGGCGACUGCCACCGAGAGUGUCACAAAGCCUGCCUACUCUUUACGAAGGAGGGGAUAGAAAAGAAAGAUGAAGAAAACAAGGGAUGUAAAUGAGAAAAAAACAGGAAGAGGCCACAAAGACGAAUGUAAAGCAGGGUCCCAUAACUUAUCAGGCCACAAAUAUAACACGACAUUUGCUGGGACUCCUAGUGCAAAAACGGGCAACGGUAUAACUCCCCGUUAGGGCUCUGGUUUCAGGGCUGCGAACAACAAAGCCGAUUUCAGUAGCGUAAAUAAGCUUAUCUCGUUCUUCCGAGAAUCUAUGGUAUACCACAAGCAAAUGUACACCGUCAUUCUUGUUUUUCACCCAUGUUCGGAAGUUGAGCCGUACUUUUUACCAUUUCUAUAAACACAAAUAAAAGGUAUUUUACAUUGUAUGUAUCGAGGCAACCUGAAGAGGAGGUAUUCUGCUUGAUAAACUAUGUACUGAGAAAGGCGCCGCAAAAUAAACUGGUUUUGCUACGGAA